CUUUUGAGUUCUCUACCUUUAAGACAUUAUUCAUUUUUUUUUCUUUUCCAGGAUUUCAUUUCCUGAGCAAUAUUUUCAAUGCUGGCAUUCCUUUUCCCUGUCUCAUCUUUUGAACUAAUCAGUUUCCCAGCUGUUACUGCACAAUAGUCUCCCAGCUCACUAAAUCAAACAAUAUGAGGAAUGGGUUACUGCCAUCCUUUUAUAGCUUCCUAUUUAUACAGAUGAGGAAACAGGUGUAAAGAAGGGAAAGCAUUUACUAAGGUUUCACAGGUUGCAUACUACCUUCUGUCUAUUCCUGAAGUGUCUUAAUGACUAAAGUUAAGGAUUAAGUAGAACUGAUGAAGAAAAAGGAACUAGAUAGCUCAGAGCAGAGAAUGCUGGUCCACCUUAGAUACUAGCUGUAUAACCAUGGGUUUUUUGAUUUAAGGCCCCUGGCAAAAAUGGAAAACUUAAAGAGAAGGAGCUUUAUAAGAAGAAGAAUUUGAGGAUCUUCAUUACGAGAAAGUUGACCUCACUACCUCUCCAUUGAGACAUAUAACCAUUUUGACCUUAUUUGGAGAUGCCAGAUUGAAUCUCUCAGAAGAAAUGAUGAGAAGAGAAUGGCACAUGAGCACUAAUUAACUGGUCAUCUAACUCAGCUUUGAAAUGAAUCUAUAAAUUAACUAACUCAUUUUAUUCGUACCAGACAAAAAUAUAUUCCCACAGAGAAAACAUUUGUUAUCCCCUCAGUGAAACCACUCAUAAGUUCAAUAAAGAAGGCAAAGUUCUUGAUAGAUGACAGGAUUAACAUAAAACAUAAUUCUAUAUGGAAUGACUUUUUCAUGUUAACAAGGGCAAAGCUUCUCAUCAAUAUUAAUAUUGGAGGGUCUUCUCCUCCUGGACUUUGCCUUAGGAUUUCUGUCUUUUGCUUCACUUGGACCUGGGACUAUGG
rnacentral:lncRNA from 1 species